ensembl:snRNA U6 U6 spliceosomal RNA
CUGUCACUGUGGCAGCAUCUUUACUAAAAUUGGAAUGAGACAGAGAUUAGCAUGGCCCCAAUGCAAGGGUGACAUCUAAAUUCAUGAAGUCUUCCUAUUUUUU